CACGUAGGGCGCAAGCGUUGUCCGGAAUUAUUGGGCGUAAAGAGCUCGUAGGCGGUCUGUUACGUCUGCUGUGAAAACCCAGGGCUUAACCCUGGGCUUGCAGUGGAUACGGGCAGACUAGAGGCAGGUAGGGGAGAAUGGAAUUCCCGGUGUAGCGGUGAAAUGCGCAGAUAUCGGGAGGAACACCAGUGGCGAAGGCGGUUACCUGGAGCUUGCUGACGCUGAUGCGCGAAAGCGUGGGGAGCAACAGG
rnacentral:rRNA from 1 species